AUUGAAUCCAGGCAGAGUCAGGAAAAGUUUCUCGGAAUAAAGAUUCUCACACCUGUUGUGACGUUCAAACGUGGGGAGGAGGGAAAGAUCAAAAUACAACUUACCGUACCGAUCGGUUGUCUGCAAUUGGUUAGUCAGUGUGACGUCAUUCUCGCCAUGAUGGACCAAUCAGAAGAUCAGUGCACAGGCGCCGCUGUAUCCGGCCAAAGAGACUGUGGAAUUUCCCUGAAAAGUAAAGAAUGGAGCAGGAUUUACGAGAUUCCCGUGGGAGCUAUAGAAGAGGAAGGACACGAGUAUUCGGCGACUUAUGAAGUGGUCCUACGGACGGACGCUCAUUUCCAUCAGCCGAUAUGGGGGUUGUACGAGUUACCCCCGGUGAAGAUUGUGAUCGAGGAGGGCAGUGACAGGGAGUGGUCCAAGAAAUACUGUAGGGCGGUCAAUGACCCUCACCUUUUGACCUAGUUGAUCAAAGACCAUAUGAUGUACACUUGGCUGGGGAUUUUAUCAUGUAUCAACAUCAAACGGCCCCUAUUCAGGUUCAAGCACGGUUUAAGCCAUGUCGUGGUAACUCUGGACCUCACUGCACGUGUGGCGUGGCGGUUCAAGUAGGGAAGGAUGUCUUUGUGAUUGACAGGUGUCAAUCAGGUCGAAAGAGGCGGAGAAUGAUGUACACUUCCUGUAUGGACCGUACUUUGGAAGUCAGGAAAAGACAUGAUUACUUAUAUAACUUGUAUACACCCUAUGGUACUAGAAUUCAAGUCAACCUCCGGGGGAAAACAUACAUGAAUCUACAAAUCUACCCCGCCAUUCGAGAUGUCGGACGAACACGAGGACUGUGCGGAACACUAUCCAAUGAAUGUGCGGACGAUUUCUUCCUUCGGGACGGAAGUUAUUUGAAUCAUGCCAAUGCAAACAAAACGUGUGGAAAUUUCAGAUGGUCGGAUUAUAGGUGGCAGCCAGACACCUUCUCCCAGUCCUGGAAGGUUUCUGGGAACGAGAGUUUGUUCGAGGAUUUCGACCCUAAUAACGCUGAGUGGCCACAGGAGCGGUAUCUGUGUGUCUGUAAGAAGAACGUCAUCAAGAUGAGAAUCGAUGGGCGUGGCACGCCAGACUGCUCCUCCAGUGUCGUGUCUAACUGCAACAGACGGCGCGAAAAGGUGGUGGCCGUGGGCGGAGGAUGCGAGGUCAAAAGGUCGUCGUCAAAGUUUGAGUUCAACCGCCUUAAUAUGAAAAGAGUCAAAAGAGAAGAACCAAGGGACAGACGAAUAAAAAUUGAUGAUUUACGAACAAGAACUCUGACCAGAAUAGAAAACGCAACUUCCUUUUGCCGGGAGCAAAUGUUCAAAUCUAACGCCUUUGGUCUGUGUAACAAUAUACCGAAUGUCCACACAGACGAUGCCGUGGAAACCUGUGCCUUGGACAUUGAGUUGACUAAUGGCUCUCUAGAAUGGGUCGACAAUCCAAAGGAGGCGUUGAUAGACCGUUGUAUAUCAGAACUACGGGUGAACGCAACACUGAACGCAGAGAGCAACAACACUGAGUCUGUCGCCGACAAAAUACUCAGCAUCGCGUGCCCUAACAACUGCAGCAACAUCGGAUCUUGUGUAAAUGGUACUUGCACUUGCCCGCCCCUCUUUGGAGCCACGGACUGCUCUCUGAAUGUUACUAUACCACCGGAAAUAUUUGGCAUUGAGGGUGAUGGUAUCUGUGACGUCAGUCAAAUGUCAUGUGACCAGAUCCUCGUAGCAGGCGACGACUUCACCGAAACUGAAACGUACCACUGCAAGAUAGACGUCACUCAUGUUUUGUUUGAGGGAGGUACAACGUCUGCCGGAGAGGAACGCAUUAAUGGAAACGUACAGACACUGAUGUCUGUUUCCUGUCCAGUACCCAGUAAAAGGAAGUUCACGUCUCGCAUCUCUUUGAAAAUGGGUCCAGUAUUUGUUAGGACGUUUAACGUGUCUGUGAGUAGCGACGGGGAAACAUUCAGCGAAUCUUUCGAGUUUUACGAGUACAAUUCUACCUUCCAAGAACUUGGGCAGACUGCAGAUGGAAGACCACAAUUUAUCUUAAAGAGUGGCUAUUGCUUCAUUGACGAGCGUGGAAUUCCCGACGGUUGGUCGAGCCCGACUGAUAAUUGUCAAGCUUGCAAUUCUUCCUUGGAUCUCCUUCAGUGGAGUCCAGUUAAUACCAUAGAGUGUGAGGUUGUCCGAGUGCCUGUCUCCAGCUCCAGCUUUGACACGGACCAGUUGUACUGGCUGCUGGCGGUGACCCUGGUCAUCAUCGCCAUUGUCAUCGUGGUCGUCUGCCAGCAGCGGUGUCGGCGGGUCCAUCUUAAAAAGAAAAGUUCCUAUGACGUAUCUUCGGAAUCUUCAGCGGCUGACAUGGAGCUUCACAACCAAAUGUUUUUCUAAACUCGUGGACAAUACAAUUAAACUAUAUACUGUCCUUGGAAGGACAUUGUGCUCAAAAGACUCACUUUAAAUUAUCAACUUUUCUCAGGAAGAUCUUGUUUAUAAUAAUUAAAAUCUGAGAAUGUUUGAUUGGAUGCUUUUGCUGUAAAUACAUCAAUAUAGAUACUGGUUAGCA
rnacentral:misc_RNA from 1 species